rnacentral:rRNA from 1 species
AUUGAACGCUGGCGGCAUGCUUUACACAUGCAAGUCGAACGGUAACAGGGAGCUUGCUCCGCUGACGAGUGGCGAACGGGUGAGUAAUGCGUCGGAACGUGCCGAGUAGUGGGGGAUAACGCAUCGAAAGGUGUGCUAAUACCGCAUACGUACUGAGGUAGAAAGUGGGGGACCUUCGGGCCUCACGCUAUUCGAGCGGCCGACGUCUGAUUAGCUAGUUGGUGAGGUAAAGGCUCACCAAGGCGACGAUCAGUAGCGGGUCUGAGAGGAUGAUCCGCCACACUGGGACUGAGACACGGCCCAGAGUCCUACGGGAGGCAGCAUUGGGGAAUUUUGGACAAUGGGCGCAAGCCUGCUCCAGCCAUGCCGCGUGUCUGAAGGAGGCCCUCGGGUUGUAAACGACUUUUGUCCGGGAGCAAAUGCAGGUGGCUAACAUCCACCGGAGCUGAGCGUACCGGAAGAAUAAGCACCGGCUAACUACGUGCCAGCCGCCGCAGUAACAC